GUUUAUAAAGUUCAUAAUGCUUUUCAAAUGCAUUUCCAAGUGAAAUAACCCAGUCAACAUCCUGAAUUACAUCCAAAGACUCUGCAAUAAAAUUGAUAAUCAUGUCAUCCCAAGACUCUUGAUAUGACGGAUCCUGCUUUAAGUCUUCUGUAUCACUGACGUAGGCCUUCAUCUUCGGAAUCUCAUCUUGCCAAAACAUGUUAAUGUUCUUGGGAAAGAGUGGUGCCAGAUAACACAAGACAGUUAGAAUCUGGGUUGCCAGCUGUUCCCUAGCCAGAGGAUUAU
rnacentral:misc_RNA from 1 species